UGCCAGCAGCCGCGGUAAUACAGAGGGUGCGAGCGUUGUCCGGAAUCACUGGGCGUAAAGGGCGCGUAGGUGGUGGCUUAAGCGUGCGGUGAAAGCUCGGAGCUCAACUCCGAGUCGGCCGUGCGAACUGGGCUCACUGGAGCAUAGUAGAGGCAGGUGGAAUUCCGGGUGUAGCGGUGGAAUGCGUAGAGAUCCGGAAGAACACCGGUGGCGAAGGCGGCCUGCUGGGCUAUGGCUGACACUGAGGCGCGACAGCGUGGGGAGCAAACAGGAUUAGAUACCCUGGUAGUCCACGCCGUAAACGAUGGGCACUAGGUGCUUGGGGGAGCGACCCCCUGGGUGCCGGCGCUAACGCAUGAAGUGCCCCGCCUGGGGAGUACGGCCGCAAGGCUGAAACUCAAAGGAAUUGACGGGGGCCCGCACAAGCC
rnacentral:rRNA from 1 species